GUGGGGAAUAUUGGACAAUGGGCGCAAGCCUGAUCCAGCCAUGCCGCGUGAGUGAUGAAGGCCUUAGGGUUGUAAAGCUCUUUCAGUGGGGACGAUAAUGACGGUACCCACAGAAGAAGCCCCGGCUAACUUCGUGCCAGCAGCCGCGGUAAUACGAAGGGGGCUAGCGUUGUUCGGAUUUACUGGGCGUAAAGCGCACGUAGGCGGAUCGUUAAGUCGGGGGUGAAAUCCUGGAGCUCAACUCCAGAACUGCCUUCGAUACUGGCGAUCUUGAGUCCGGAAGAGGUGAGUGGAACUCCUAGUGUAGAGGUGAAAUUCGUAGAUAUUCGCAAGAACACCAGUGGCGAAGGCGGCUCACUGGCCCGAUACUGACGCUGAGGUGCGAAAGCGUGGGGAGCAAACAGGAUUAGAAACCCCAGUAGUCC
rnacentral:rRNA from 1 species